rnacentral:rRNA from 1 species
GGAGGAAACUCUGAUGCAGCAAUGCCGCGUGAAGGAAGACGGUUUUCGGAUUGUAAACUUCUAUCAGCAGGGAAGAAAAUGACGGUACCUGACUAAGAAGCCCCGGCUAACUAUGUGCCAGCAGCCGCGGUAAUACAUAGGGGGCAAGCGUUAUCCGGAAUGACUGGGUGUAAAGGGUGCGUAGGCGGUAAGAUAAGUCUGAUGUGAAAGACUGGGGCUCAACUCCAGGGGUGCAUUGGAAACUAUGUUACUAGAGUACAGGAGAGGAAAGCGGAAUUCCUAGUGUAGCGGUGAAAUGCGUAGAUAUUAGGAGGAACACCGGUGGCGAAGGCGGCUUUCUGGACUGAAACUGACGCUGAGGC